UACGUAGGGGGCUAGCGUUGUCCGGAAUCAUUGGGCGUAAAGCGCGUGUAGGCGGUCCGGUAAGUCCGCUGUGAAAGUCGGGGGCUCAACCUCGGAUGCCCGGUGGAUACUGUCGGGCUUGAGUACGGAAGAGGCGAGUGGAAUUCCUGGUGUAGCGGUGAAAGUGCGCCAGAGUAUCAGGAGGAACACCAUUGCGAAGGCGCUCGCUGGACGUACG
rnacentral:rRNA from 1 species